GCGUAAAGCGCACGCAGGCGGUUGGAUAAGUUAGAUGUGAAAGCCCCGCCCUUAACCUGGGAAUUGCAUUUAAAACUGUCCAGCUAGAGUCCUUUAGAGGGGGGUAGAAUUCCAGGUGUAGCGGUGAAAUGCGUAGAGAUCUGGAGGAAUACCGGUGGCGAAGGCGCCCCCCUGGACAAAGACUGACGCUCAGGUGCGAAAGCGUGGGGAGCAAACAGGAUUAGAUACCCUGGUAGUCCACGCCGUAAACGAUGUCGAUUUGGAGGCUGUGUCCUUGAGACGUGGCUUCCGGAGCUAACGCGUUAAAUCGACCGCCUGGGGAGUACGGCCGCAAGGUUAAAACUCAAAUGAAUUGACGGGGGCCCGCACAAGCGGUGGAGCAUGUGGUUUAAUUCGUUUUUUUGCGAAGAACCUUACCUGGCCUUGAGGGGGGGGG
rnacentral:rRNA from 1 species